rnacentral:rRNA from 1 species
GACGAACGCUGGCGGCGUGCCUAAUACAUGCAAGUUGAGCGCUGAAGGUUGGUACUUGUACCAACUGGAUGAGCAGCGAACGGGUGAGUAACGCGUGGGGAAUCUGCCUUUGAGCGGGGGACAACAUUUGGAAACGAAUGCUAAUACCGCAUAAAAACUUUAAACACAAGUUUUAAGUUUGAAAGAUGCAAUUGCAUCACUCAAAGAUGAUCCCGCGUUGUAUUAGCUAGUUGGUGAGGUAAAGGCUCACCAAGGCGAUGAUACAUAGCCGACCUGAGAGGGUGAGCGGCCACAUUGGGACUGAGACACGGCCCAAACUCCUACGGGAGGCAGCAGUAGGGAAUCUUCGGCAAUGGACGAAAGUCUGACCGAGCAACGCCGCGGGAGUGAAGAAGGUUGACGGAUCGUAAAACUCUGUUGGUAGAGAAGAACGUUGGUGAGAGUGGAAAGCUCAUCAAGUGACGGUAACUACCCAGAAAGGGACGGCUAACUACGUG